CUGUUUUUUGUCCACUAGUGGACCAAAGAUUGGAACUUUGGUCGAGGGGUUUUGCAAAACAUUGGUCAAGUGUCCAGGCGACCAAAGCUACCGCCUUGUAUUUUAAAUUUCCAAAUGUAAAAAGAAGCUAACUGUAAUUAAAUUUAUUUCAGUCUAUUUACCAUGUCAAAUUUUUUUGAUGGUACAACAAAGCUUUUCUUAUGCUAUAUUGAGCAUACGUUUUAAUUUUUUAAGUCUACUGUAGUCGCCUUGUGAGUUCACGCCAAACAUCAACAACAGCCUAAUCGACUCGUCACAUCUCUACUUCACUGACUAAAUUUGGUACCAUGGCUGCAUUAGAAAAAAUCAUAGAUGAAGAAAUGUAUGAAAUGGAAGAAUUGUGACGAGUGAGGAUUCCACGCAUUGUACCUAAAGAUCGCAGUGACCCAUUUCAUUAUCUUUCUGGUGAAGAAUUCCUUGAGCGUUUUCGUCUGCCAAAGGAUGCUGUAUGAGACCUCAUUGAAGAAGUUAGGCCACGUACACAUGUGGACAGGCUUGGCACAGGAUAUGGCAUUCCUCUGCAUUUGAAGAUGCUAGUUACCUUGCGGUACCUAGCCACGGAAG